rnacentral:rRNA from 1 species
UACGUAGGGGGCUAGCGUUGUUCGGAAUUACUGGGCGUAAAGCGCACGUAGGCGGAUCAGUCAGUUAGGGGUGAAAUCCCAGGGCUCAACCCUGGAACUGCCUUUAAUACUGCUGGUCUGGAGGUCGAGAGAGGCGAGUGGAAUUCCGAGUGUAGAGGUGAAAUUCGUAGAUAUUCGGAGGAACACCAGUGGCGAAGGCGGCUCACUGGCCCGGUACUGACGCUGAGGUGCGAAAGCGUGGGGAGCAAACAGG